rnacentral:snRNA from 1 species
AGAGAAUCGCUUGAACCCGGGAGGCGGAAGUUGCAGUGAGCCGAGAUCGUGUCAUUGCACUCUAGCCUGGGCGACAAAG